rnacentral:rRNA from 1 species
GACGAACGCUGGCGGCGUGCUUAACACAUGCCAGUCGAACGGAAAGGCCCUGCUUUUGUGGGGUGCUCGAGUGGCGAACGGGUGAGUAACACGUGAGUAACCUGCCCUUGACUUUGGGAUAACUUCAGGAAACUGGGGCUAAUACCGGAUAGGAGCUCCUGCUGCAUGGUGGGGGUUGGAAAGUUUCGGCGGUUGGGGAUGGACUCGCGGCUUAUCAGCUUGUUGGUGGGGUAGUGGCUUACCAAGGCUUUGACGGGUAGCCGGCCUGAGAGGGUGACCGGCCAGAUUGGGACGGAGGUACGGCCCAGACGCCUACGGGAGGCAGCAGUGGGGAAUAUUGCACAAUGGGCGGGAGCCUGAUGCAGCAACGCCGCGUGCGGGAUGACGGCCUUCGGGUUGUAAACCGCUUUCGCCUGUGACGAAGCGUGAGUGACGGUAAUGGGUAAAGAAGCACCGGCUAACUACGUG